GCUCAGAAACUUAAAGGAAUUGACGGGGCCCGCACAAGCGGUGGAGCAUGUGGUUUAAUUCGAUGGUACGCGAGGAACCUUACCAGGGCUUGACAUACGUUGGAAGCGCAUCGAAAGGUGCGUGCCGCUUGCGGCCGGCGUACAGGUGCUGCAUGGCUGUCGUCAGCUCGUGCUGUGAAGUGUUGGGUUAAGUCCCGCAACGAGCGCAACCCCUGCUGCCUGUUGCCACCACGAGAGGUGGGGACUCAGGCGGGACCGCCGGUGACAAACCGGAGGAAGUGGGGACGACGUCAAGUCAUCAUGGCCCUUAUGUCCUGGGCUACACACGUGCUACAAUGGCCGGUACAGAGCGCAGCGAGGCCGCGAGGCGGAGCGAAUCGCUUAAAGCCGGUCCCAGUACGGAUUGGAGUCUGCAACCCGACUCCAUGAAGUUGGAAUCGCUAGUAAUCGCGCAUCAGCAUGGCGCGGUGAAUACGUUCCCGGGCCUU
rnacentral:rRNA from 1 species